rnacentral:rRNA from 1 species
UGGGGAAUAUUGGACAAUGGGCGAAAGCCUGAUCCAGCCAUGCCGCGUGUGUGAAGAAGGUCUUCGGAUUGUAAAGCACUUUAAGUUGGGAGGAAGGGCAUUAACCUAAUACGUUAGUGUUUUGACGUUACCGACAGAAUAAGCACCGGCUAACUCUGUGCCAGCAGCCGCGGUAAUACAGAGGGGGCAAGCGUUAAUCGGAAUUACUGGGCGUAAAGCGCGCGUAGGUUGUUUGUUAAGUUGGAUGUGAAAUCCCCGGGCGCAACCUGUGAACUGCAUUCAAAACUGACUGACUAGAGUAUGGUAGAGGGUGGUGGAAUUUCCUGUGUAGCGGUGAAAUGCGUAUAUAUAGGAAGGAACACCAGUGGCGAAGGCGACCACCUGGACUAAUACUGACACUGAGGUGCGAAAGCGUGGGGAGCAAACA